GCGCGGGGCGGGGGUUCCCCCCCCCUCGCUGCUGCGCGCACGCACGGUGCCACUUUCCUUAUCUAAUUCUCUUUAUCCAGUUCCUUGAGCUUUGUGAGGGAUAAAAGGUGAUGAACGUAUAGGCCCUAGGGAGGCUGAGGCAGGAGGAUCUGGAUGAGUUCCAGGCCAACCUGAACUACAAAGUGAGACCUUGUCUCAGAGGCCCCACCCAAAAAAGCUAGGCCUGUUUUCUCCUUUGUUCUUUCCUUGCCCUGAUCUGUAAAUGCAAAAUAGCGAGCAUUUAUGUAAACUAUGCAAAGUAGCAAGUAUUUACUGAGGCCCUGCCCUUUAUAUAAAGAUAUGCUCAUCUAGGUGAGUGUGCUUCAGAAGUUCAAAAUCUGAUUGGAAGGCUGAUCAGUGACCCAAGAAGCCUAACUCAGGCCACACACUGCUAUAGAGAGUCCUAAACCAGAGGGAUAGCCAGGGUGGUUUGGGAUUAAACCCUCAUCUCUUCUAGAGGGGGUAAAAGAAUGAGAACAGCCCCUGUGCUGUAAGAAGAGAGCUGCUGCUGCCCUCUGACCUGAGAUGGCAUCUGUCACCACUUCCUUUACAGCCCCGCAGGUGACGGGACCAGCAAGAUGACAGCCCCUGGAUGUUGGCCAUCUGAUUGCUGACCAUCGUGCCGCUGUCGGGGCCCCACUGAGCUAAAAUGUGAGCUGUUUCUGCCAUGGUGCUGGUGGAUUUACACAGAUCUCUCACCGCUCCUUGCAGGUGGAUUUACACAGAUCUCUCACUGCUCCUUGCAGGAGUCGUCUUCCUGGAUCUCGGCACUGCUCAGGUGGACGCCCUCUCUUGGCCCAGCCACCCCCACCCCAGAAGCCCCUGGCUGGCGGGCCCUGCCCUGUCUCCUGAUUUAAUUCCCAUCCAGACUGCAUGGCGCUGCGGCUGCCCAGCCUCGCCUGAGUUCCUGAUCCACGUGUCCUCUUGCUCACAGCAACUCCCACUGUGCCACCGUGUAGGCUCAGCCUGCUCACCUGGUCCAGGCCUCCCCCAGAGCUGCCUCAGCUCCGGGCUCCCUGCAUCUCUGAUUCCUCCUUUCCCCUUGCAAAAGCCAAAGACUCACUCAGGAGGCGUCCUUGGCUCCCCUCCUCUCACAGCCCUCAUCCAAACCAUCAGCAAAUCCUGCAGGUUCCACAUUCAGAAUAAACCUACUCUCUGA
rnacentral:lncRNA from 1 species